UACGUAGGGUGCGAGCGUUGUCCGGAAUUAUUGGGCGUAAAGAGCUUGUAGGCGGUUUGUCGCGUCUGCUGUGAAAAUCCGGGGCUCAACCCCGGACUUGCAGUGGGUACGGGCAGACUGGAGUGUGGUAGGGGAGACUGGAAUUCCUGGUGUAGCGGUGGAAUGCGCAGAUAUCAGGAGGAACACCGAUGGCGAAGGCAGGUCUCUGGGCCACUACUGACGCUGAGGCGCGAAAGCUAGGGGAGCAAACGGG
rnacentral:rRNA from 1 species